CACGUAGGCACCAAGCGUUAUCCGGAUUUAUUGGGCGUAAAGAGCUCGUAGGCGGUUCGGUAAGUCGGGUGUGAAAACCCUGGGCUCAACCCAGAGAGGCCACCCGAUACUGCUGUGACUAGAGUGCGGUAGGGGAGCGGGGAAUUCCUGGUGUAGCGGUGAAAUGCGCAGAUAUCAGGGGAACACCAGCGGCGAAGGCGGCGCUCUGGGCCGGAACUGACGCUGAGGAGCGAAAGCAUGGGUAGCGAACAGG
rnacentral:rRNA from 1 species